AACGCACGAGACCUGCGGACCUGCGGAAGGAUCAUUACCGAGUUCUCGAACUCCCAAACCCCACGCGAACCUUACCCAUCGUUGCUUCGGCGGUCGACGCCGGGGGCGCCCCCGCGGCCCCCCGGCCCGCCCGCCGGAGGCCCAAAACACGCAUCUCUUCAGCGGGCGGACCCCCCCAAAGGGGCGCGCGCACAUCUGAUUGGCCCCACGCGGGCUCUAAAAAAAGCAAAUGAAUCAAAA
rnacentral:misc_RNA from 1 species